UGAUGUCUAAAUUGUCCAUAGCAUCAACAUAUCAAAUGAAAAUCAUACAUGAUUGAGAUUUGAAAAAUAAAUAACUAACAAAUAAGUGAGUCACUUCUAGAAGUCCAUCAUACUUUAACAACAUAAAAAAUCAGUUUCGAUAUUAUUCAUAUAUAAUAUUUUGACUCCAAACAACCAAACUGGAAAGUGCCACUACCUAGGAUCCUAAUUGACAACACAAUUUAGAAGGUGAUUCAUAUAACUAAUCAACUCCAAGAUUUAAUAUAACUCAGCUAGAAGAACUAGAGUCAAUAUAAUAAUUCCUCAAUUGCAACUAGACCAUCUUGUGUACAUCCUGUAAUAGCAUGUCAAGUAUUGACUGUGAGUGAAAGAGAUUAUCAUAAAUAAAUACACUAAGGGCAUGUUUGGAUAAAUAACUUAUCAUGAUAAGAACUUACGUAUAAGUUCACAUAAUUUAUCUAUAGCAAAAGAUAAAAUUAAAUUAAAUUAUUCUCGUAUAUGCUGUAAGUUGUUUUUAUAAGCUAUAUUAGAGAACUUAUGAAAAAAGGUUUUGAAAACUGUCAUAAAUUACUUUCAUAAGUUCUCUUGAACAACCUCACAUAACAUAAGUCAGUAGAUAAGCUCAAAUAAGCCAGUCCAAACAAGUCAUAAAUCCUUUUUGAUAAUCUUUUUGUUUUAAACCCUUGCCUUAGAACAAAUUAUCACAAAGAUGAGACCACAUUUUAUUAAUGAAUCAAUUUAAUAUCAAAUUUAACUACUGAUUCAUAAAGUUAGUUAAAAGCAAGAAUCAAAUACUAAUUCAUAAUCAAUUAAAUUAAUCAAAAUCAGAAGUGAAAAAGUUAGAGAUAACAUACUCAAAGCUUGUCCGCUGAAAAUCUUCUAGAAUCAUCUCUACACAUCAUUUUCUUAACAAAUCCUUAGCAGAAGAAUAAACAGAACAGAGUAUUCGAGAAGGAAACCUGAGAUACGCCGUAAUAACCACUUCAAAAACCUCAUACGUAGAAUCACCGUAAAAAGGAGGAAUCCUGCUCAACAUUAUGUACCAAACAGAACACAACUCCACAAAUCAACUUUCUCGGUAUAAUAUCUUCCUAACAGAACCUCUGGCGCCACGUAACACGGCGUUCCGACAACUCGUCAUUUUCUCGCCAUCGUCGAACCACCAAAAUCAACUAAUUUGAGAUUAUCCUCAGAAUCGAUUUCAGAGAUUCGACAUGCGUUUGCGAUACCAGAUCUGCCAUACCAAAGUUCCUAGAUGGGAAUUUCAUAUUUGAGAUUCCGAGAUCGAAGAUGCGUAUGUGAUUUUAGAUUUGCGAGACCAGCCGAGUUACAAAUUUCAGAUUUUCGAUUCAUGAGCUUGGGGUAAAUUUGGGUUUAUGAGCUGGCUGAUGAACAAGUUUGAGGGAAAGGGUUAAAGGUGAGAAUUUGGGGGAAAGGGUUAAAGGUGAGAAUUUGGGGGAAGCGUUGUUGAUGAACAAGUUAUAUAUAUGUUUCUUAUAUUUUAAUUUAAAUAAUAUAAAUUAGAUUUUAAAUGGGGUUAAACCAUUUAGUAUGUAAUGAAGUUAAAAUCCUCUCCUCUACCCAUGUUUUUAAGUCUGGUGGAUAACUGCCCACUUAAAAUCCCUGACUUAAUAAGUGUUUUUUGUACUAGUGGCACCUUUCAGAAUUGGUGAUUUCACAUCAAUCACAUAUCCAUUUUGGUGUUUAAAUGCUUAACCAAACUAUU
rnacentral:lncRNA from 1 species